AGAGUUUGAUCCUGGCUCAGGACGAACGCUGGCGGCGUGCCUAAUACAUGCAAGUCGAGCGGACAUCUUAAAAGCUUGCUUUUGAGAUGUCAGCGGCGGACGGGUGAGUAACACGUGGGCAACCUGCCUGUAAGACUGGGAUAACUCCGGGAAACCGGGGCUAAUACCGGAUAGUUUUUCUCCUUGCAUAAGGAGAAAGGGAAAGACGGUUUCGGCUGUCACUUACAGAUGGGCCCGCGGCGCAUUAGCUAGUUGGUGAGGUAACGGCUCACCAAGGCGACGAUGCGUAGCCGACCUGAGAGGGUGAUCGGCCACACUGGGACUGAGACACGGCCCAGACUCCUACGGGAGGCAGCAGUAGGGAAUCUUCCGCAAUGGACGAAAGUCUGACGGAGCAACGCCGCGUGAACGAUGAAGGCCUUCGGGUCGUAAAGUUCUGUUGUUAGGGAAGCACAAGUACCAGAGUAACUGCUGGUACCUUGACGGUACCUAACCAGAAAGCCACGGCUAACUACGUGCCAGCAGCCGCGGUAAUACGUAGGUGGCAAGCGUUGUCCGGAAUUAUUGGGCGUAAAGCGCGCGCAGGCGGUCCUUUAAGUCUGAUGUGAAAGCCCACGGCUCAACCGUGGAGGGUCAUUGGAAACUGGGGGACUUGAGUGCAGAAGAGGAAAGCGGAAUUCCACGUGUAGCGGUGAAAUGCGUAGAGAUGUGGAGGAACACCAGUGGCGAAGGCGGCUUUCUGGUCUGUAACUGACGCUGAGGCGCGAAAGCGUGGGGAGCAAACAGGAUUAGAUACCCUG
rnacentral:rRNA from 1 species